CAAUUUUCUAUUUCCUUUAAUCUGAGCAGUCAGAUAGAUCUAAACUCCUGUGACUAGGGCUACCUAAUUCACAGUUCCCUCUACCUCUGGAUUAGGUUCUUCUCAUCUUCCUUGAUGUGUUCAGUAACCACUUCAGGAUACCUCCCUUCCACACCUCCCACUUCUCCCUAUCCUAUCCUUGGCUAGAACCCCGUCCAAUCUAGUUUUAUUGAGGAUAACACAAAAGGAGAACAAGAGAAUAUCCCUGAGUGGCAGAUUAUGAAACACUCCUACUUCUUCAAUUUCACGCCCUUCUGCAGAAAAAUAAAGGCAGAGGGCAGCAGUAUGAGAGACACAGAUUGAGAAAUGGACACAUAUAUUUGACUGGCUUUGAUCUCCCUGAGUCACCACUCCAGAGGACACACCAGAUGGCAACAGUGGCCACAUUCUCUUCUGCUCCUGUUGGAGGAAGCCCCCACUGAUGAAACUGGGAUGAAACUGGGAUUAAGAUCUUGGUGGAGUAAGGCGAGAUGACACCUGUUCCAGUUCUCUAUUGCACUCUCUGUUUUGCCUGACUGUUGAGGACCCUUUAGGGAAAGAACUCAAACCAUGUCCAGAGGUCUGGAACACAGACAUGGCCAAGAGAGCCAGCCUAAAACAUGCCAACAAUGACCACGUCCUGGCGUAGGUGGCACACUAAGAGGACAGAAACCUGGGUCCCAAGAUGAACAAGUGGAGCAGAGCCACCUCUUCAUCCUGGACAUCCAUCACUGGACUAAGCUCGCCUAUGCAUGCUGGUCCCCAAAUUUGGAAGGUGGAGGGAGAGCAGGGAAUGAGGAAGCUUCACUUCAGCCUUAAACCUAAGCCACAUGAUGCAACUCAGUCUUUUGGC